CAGAGAAUAGUUUAAAGGUAGAACUCUUGGUUUGGGACUAAGUAGUAGGGGUUCGAUUCCCUUUUCUCUGA
rfam:Monosiga brevicollis mitochondrion, complete genome.